rnacentral:rRNA from 1 species
AUUGAACGCUGGCGGCAGGCCUGACACAUGCAAGUCGAACGGUAACAGGAAACAGCUUGCUGUUUCGCUGACGAGUGGCGGACGGGUGAGUAAUGUCUGGGAAACUGCCUGAUGGAGGGGGAUAACUACUGGAAACGGUAGCUAAUACCGCAUAACGUCGCAAGACCAAAGAGGGGGACCUUCGGGCCUCUUGCCAUCGGAUGUGCCCAGAUGGGAUUAGUUAGUAGGUGGGGUAACGGCUCACCUAGGCGACGAUCCCUAGCUGGUCUGAGAGGAUGACCAGCCACGCUGGAACUUGGACACGGUCCAGACUCCUACGGGAGGCAGCAGUGGGGAAUAUUGCACAAUGGGCGCAAGCCUGAUGCAGCCAUGCCGCGUGUAUGAAGAAGGCCUUCGGGUUGUAAAGUACUUUCAGCGGGGAGGAAGGGAGUAAAGUUAAUACCUUUGCUCAUUGACGUUACCCGCAGAAGAAGCACCGGCUAACUCCGUGCCAGCCGCCGCAGUAA